UGGAGCAGAGAAGACGCAUUUUUUCAUUGUUAUUCUCGGACAAAGUAGAUUACAGCGACACGAGUUUCCAUUGCGUUUGACAUUAUUUGCUAUGACACGCGUAUUGGAAAUACAUUUGGAUUUCAGACCCUAAAAGGGGCGGCCUACAUUAAAUAGUUUCCUGAAGUUGACCAAGGAGAUUUCUAAUUGUGAAUGAUUGCCACGAGUGUGAGUCAUUAGACGACUUCUCUAUUCAAUCCAGUGCUAACAAGACCGUAACUUCAUGGCCGUUAACCUUGUAGAAGGAAGAGCUAUAAAGUUAUGGACACCAGUCGAGUCAAGGAAUGUGUUCAUGAUAGAGAUUUAAAUAUUCAAGAGAUGAAUGAAGCAGCUCAUACCUAUUUAAAA